ACGAACGCUGGCGGCAUGCCUAACACAUGCAAGUCGAACGAGACCUUCGGGUCUAGUGGCGCACGGGUGCGUAACACGUGGGAAUCUGCCCUUUGCUUCGGAAUAACAGUUAGAAAUGACUGCUAAUACCGGAUAAUGUCGUAAGACCAAAGAUUUAUCGGCAAAGGAUGAGCCCGCGUAGGAUUAGCUUGUUGGCGGGGUAAUGGCCCACCAAGGCGACGAUCCUUAGCUGGUCUGAGAGGAUGAUCAGCCACACUGGGACUGAGACACGGCCCAGACUCCUACGGGAGGCAGCAGUGGGGAAUAUUGGACAAUGGGCGAAAGCCUGAUCCAGCAAUGCCGCGUGAGUGAUGAAGGCCCUAGGGUUGUAAAGCUCUUUUACCAGGGAUGAUAAUGACAGUACCUGGAGAAUAAGCUCCGGCUAACUUCGU
rnacentral:rRNA from 1 species